rnacentral:rRNA from 1 species
GAUGAACGCUGGCGGCGUGCCUAAUACAUGCAAGUCGAACGCUUCACUUCGGUGAAGAGUGGCGAACGGGUGAGUAAUACAUAAGUAACCUAGCAUCUACAGGGGGAUAACUGAUGGAAACGUCAGCUAAGACCGCAUAGGUGUAGAGAUCGCAUGAACUCUAUAUGAAAAGUGCUACGGGACUGGUAGAUGAUGGACUUAUGGCGCAUUAGCUUGUUGGUAGGGUAACGGCCUACCAAGGCGACGAUGCGUAGCCGACCUGAGAGGGUGACCGGCCACACUGGGACUGAGACACGGCCCAGACUCCUACGGGAGGCAGCAGUAGGGAAUUUUCGGCAAUGGGGGAAACCCUGACCGAGCAACGCCGCGUGAAGGAAGAAGUAAUUCGUUAUGUAAACUUCUGUCAUAGAGGAAGAACGGUGGAUAUAGGGAAUGAUAUCCAAGUGACGGUACUCUAUAAGAAAGCCACGGCUAACUACGUG